rnacentral:tRNA from 1 species
GCGGCCGUGACCGAGCGGCGAGGUAUCGGUCUGCAAAACCGAUGACGUGGGUUCAACUCCCGCCGGCCGCUCAA